rnacentral:rRNA from 1 species
GAUGGACUGCCUUUUGCAUAAUGAGCCUGCGAGUUGUGGUGUCUGGCAAGGUUAAGCAAACGCGAAGCCGUAGCGAAAGCGAGUCUGAAUAGGGCGCUUAGUCAGAUGCUGCAGACCCGAAACGAAGUGAUCUAUCCAUGAGCAAGUUGAAGCUAGUGUAAGAACUAGUGGAGGACUGAACCCAUAGGCGUUGAAAAGCCCCGGGAUGACUUGUGGAUAGGGGUGAAAGGCCAAUCAAACUUCGUGAUAGCUGGUUCUCUCCGAAAUAUAUUUAGGUAUAGCGUUGUGUCGUAAUAUAAGGGGGUAGAGCACUGAAUGGGCUAGGGCAUACACCAAUGUACCAAACCCUAUCAAACUCCGAAUACCUUAUAUGUAAUCACAGCAGUCAGGCGGCGAGUGAUAAAAUCCGUCGUCAAGAGGGAAACAACCCAGACUACCAGCUAAGGUCCCUAAAUCUUACUUAAGUGGAAAACGAUGUGAAGUUACUUAAACAACCAGGAGGUUGGCUUAGAAGCAGCCAUCCUUUAAAGAAAGCGUAAUAGCUCACUGGUCUAGUGAUUUUGCGCGGAAAAUAUAACGGGGCUAAAGU